rnacentral:rRNA from 1 species
GACGAACGCUGGCGGCGUGCCUAAUACAUGCAAGUCGAACGCUUCUUUCCUCCCGAGUGCUUGCACUCAAUUGGAAAGAGGAGUGGCGGACGGGUGAGUAACACGUGGGUAACCUACCCAUCAGAGGGGGAUAACACUUGGAAACAGGUGCUAAUACCGCAUAACAGUUUAUGCCGCAUGGCAUAAGAGUGAAAGGCGCUUUCGGGCGUCGCUGAUGGAUGGACCCGCGGUGCAUUAGCUAGUUGGUGAGGUAACGGCUCACCAAGGCGACGAUGCAUAGCCGACCUGAGAGGGUGAUCGGCCACACUGGGACUGAGACACGGCCCAGACUCCUACGGGAGGCAGCAGUAGGGAAUCUUCGGCAAUGGACGAAAGUCUGACCGAGCAACGCCGCGUGAGUGAAGAAGGUUUUCGGAUCGUAAAACUCUGUUGUUAGAGAAGAACAAGGACGUUAGUAACUGAACGUCCCCUGACGGUAUCUAACCAGAAAGCCACGGCUAACUACGUG